AGUAACUAGGCGCUGAAUCCAUGACGGAGCGAGGAGCCCAACGUUGUAACGGUUUCGUUACUGGGGGUGAAUCCGAACAGGAAGGGCAUCUCUCCAAGCCCGAACCCGACAGCGAACUCCGCAAGCGCUUUUUGGGGAGGGA
rnacentral:sRNA from 2 species